rnacentral:rRNA from 1 species
AGCAGCCGCGGUAAUACGUAGGGCGCAAGCGUUAUCCGGAAUUAUUGGGCGUAAAGAGCUCGUAGGCGGUUUGUCGCGUCUGCCGUGAAAGUCCGGGGCUCAACCCCGGAUCUGCGGUGGGUACGGGCAGACUAGAGUGAUGUAGGGGAGACUGGAAUUCCUGGUGUAGCGGUGAAAUGCGCAGAUAUCAGGAGGAACACCGAUGGCGAAGGCAGGUCUCUGGGCAUUAACUGACGCUGAGGAGCGAAAGCAUGGGGAGCGAACAGGAUUAGAUACCCGCGUAGUCCCUGUCUCUUAUACA